CUGAUACUUCCUCCGUCCGGAAAUACUUGUCAUUGAAAUGGAUGUAUCUAGAUGCAUUUUAGUUGUAGAUACAUUCAUUUUCAUUCAUUUUGAUGACAAAUAUUUCUGGACGGAGGGAGUAUUAC
rfam:Triticum aestivum genome assembly, contig: Triticum_aestivum_CS42_TGACv1_scaffold_514376_6BS